rnacentral:rRNA from 1 species
GACGAACGCUGGCGGCGUGCUUAACACAUGCAAGUCGAACGGAAAGGCCCUGCUUGCAGGGUACUCGAGUGGCGAACGGGUGAGUAACACGUGGGUGAUCUGCCCUGCACUUCGUGAUAAGCCUGGGAAACUGGGUCUAAUACCGGAUAGGAGCCCUUUUUAGUGUGAUGGUUGGAAAGUUUUUUGGGUGUAGGAUGAGCUCGCGGCCUAUCAGGUUGUUGGUGGGGGAAUGGCCUACCAAGGCGGCGACGGGUAGCCGGCCUGGGAGGGUGGACGGCCACAUUGGGGCUGAGAUAAGGCCCAGACUCCCACGGGAGGCAGCAGUGGGGAAUAUUGGACAAAGGGCGCAAGCCUGAUGCAGCGACGCCGCGGGGGGGAUGACGGGCUUCGGGUUGUAAACUCCUUUCGCUAGGGACGAAGCUUUUUGUGACGGUACCUAGAUAAGAAGCACCGGCUAACUACGUG